rnacentral:rRNA from 1 species
ACUAUAUGUUCAACGGCCGCGGUAUUUUGACGUGCAAAGGUAGCGCAAUCACUUGUCUUUUAAAUAAAGACCGGUAUGAAUGGCAAGACGAGGGCUUGACUGUCUCCUUUUUCAUGUCAAUGAAAUUGAUCUCCCCGUGCAGAAGCGGGGACACCAGCAUAAGACGAGAAGACCCUAUGGAGCUUCAGACACGAAAGCAGCCUAUGUCAAUUACCCUGGCACAACAGACUGAACUAAAUAGGCCUGCCCGAAUGUCUUUGGUUGGGGCGACCGCGGGGAAAUGAAUAACCCCCAUGUGGAAUGGGAGCACCACCCUCCUAAAACUGAGAGUGACAACUCUAAGUAACAGAAAUUCUGACCAGCUAGAUCCGGCCAUGCCGAUCAACGGACCGAGUUACCCUAGGGAUAACAGCGCAAUCCUCUUUUAGAGCCCAUAUCGACAAGAGGGUUUACGACCUCGAUGUUGGAUCAGGACAUCCUAAUGGUGAAGCCGCUAUUAAGGGUUCGUUUGUUCAACGAUUAA